UACGGGGGGGGCAAGCGUUGUCCGGAAUCAUUGGGCGUAAAGAGCGUGUAGGCGGCCAGAAAAGUCCGCUGUGAAAACUCGAGGCUCAACUUCGAGCUGUCGGUGGAAACUUUCUGGCUAGAGUCCGGAAGAGGAGAAUGGAAUUCCUGGUGUAGCGGUGAAAUGCGCAGAUAUCAGGAAGAACACCCGUGGCGAAGGCGGUUCUCUGGGACGGUACUGACGCUGAGACGCGAAAGCGUGGGGAGCGAACAGG
rnacentral:rRNA from 1 species